rnacentral:rRNA from 1 species
GAUGAACGCUGGCGGCGUGCCUAAUACAUGCAAGUCGAGCGAACAGAUAAGGAGCUUGCUCCUUUGACGUUAGCGGCGGACGGGUGAGUAACACGUGGAUAACCUACCUAUAAGACUGGGAUAACUUCGGGAAACCGGAGCUAAUACCGGAUAACAUAUUGAACCGCAUGGUUCAAUAGUGAAAGGCGGCUUUGCUGUCACUUAUAGAUGGGUCCGCGCCGUAUUAGCUAGUUGGUAAGGUAACGGCUUACCAAGGCAACGAUACGUAGCCGACCUGAGAGGGUGAUCGGCCACACUGGAACUGAGACACGGUCCAGACUCCUACGGGAGGCAGCAGUAGGGAAUCUUCCGCAAUGGGCGAAAGCCUGACGGAGCAACGCCGCGUGAGUGAUGAAGGUCUUCGGAUCGUAAAACUCUGUUAUCAGGGAAGAACAAAUGUGUAAGUAACUGUGCACAUCUUGACGGUACCUGAUCAGAAAGCCACGGCUAACUACGUG